GACGAACGCUGGCGGCGUGCUUAACACAUGCAAGUCGAACGGAAAGGCCCUGCUUUUGUGGGGUGCUCGAGUGGCGAACGGGUGAGUAACACGUGAGUAACCUGCCCUUGACUUUGGGAUAACUUCAGGAAACUGGGGCUAAUACCGGAUAGGAGCUCCUGCUGCAUGGUGGGGGUUGGAAAGUUUCGGCGGUUGGGGAUGGACUCGCGGCUUAUCAGCUUGUUGGUGGGGUAGUGGCUUACCAAGGCUUUGACGGGUAGCCGGCCUGAGAGGGUGACCGGCCACAUUGGGACUGUGGUACGGCCCAGACUCCUACGGGAGGCAGCAGUGGGGAAUAUUGCACAAUGGGCGGAAGCCUGAUGCAGCAACGCCGCGUGCGGGAUGACGGCCUUCGGGUUGUAAACCGCUUUCGCCUGUGACGAAGCGUGAGUGACGGUAAUGGGUAAAGAAGCACCGGCUAACUACGUG
rnacentral:rRNA from 1 species